rnacentral:rRNA from 1 species
UCUGGUUGAUCCCGGCGGAGGCCACUGCUAUCAGAGUUCGAUUAAGCCAUGCGAGUCGAGAGGUGCAAGACCUCGGCAUACUGCUCAGUAACACGUGGACAACCUACCCUACAGAAGGGGAUAACCCCGGGAAACUGGGGAUAAUACCCUAUAGACUAUGGAUGCUGGAAUGCUCUGUAGCCGAAAGGUCCGCCGCUGUAGGAUGGGUCUGCGGCCGAUUAGGUUGUUGUUGGGGUAACGGCCCAACAAGCCUGUAAUCGGUACGGGUUGUGGGAGCAAGAGCCCGGAGAUGGAUUCUGAGACACGAAUCCAGGCCCUACGGGGCGCAGCAGGCGCGAAAACUUUGCAAUGCGGGAAACCGUGACGAGGGAACUCUGAGUGCCCGUAAAAUCGGGCUGUCCAUCGGUUUAAAUAACCGGUGAAGAAAGGGCCGGGCAAGACCGGUGCCAGCCGCCGCGGUAAUACCGGCGGCUCGAGUGGUGGCCACUAUUACUGGGCUUAAAGCGUUCGUAGCUGGUUUGUUAAGUCUCUGGGGAAAUCUUCCGGCUUAACCGGAAGGCGUCUCAGGGAUACUGGCAGACUAGGGACCGGGAGAGGUGAGAGGUACUCCAGGGGUAGGAGUGAAAUCCUGUAAUCCUUGGGGGACCACCUGUGGCGAAGGCGUCUCACCAGAACGGCUCCGACAGUGAGGGACGAAAGCUGGGGGAGCAAACCGGAUUAGAUACCCGGGUAGUCCCAGCCGUAAACGAUGUGCGUUAGGUGUAUCGGUGACCACGAGUCACCGAGGUGCCGAAGAGAAAUCGUGAAACGUACCGCCUGGGAAGUACGGUCGCAAGGCUGAAACUCAAAGGAAUUGGCGGGGGAGCACCACAACAGGUGGAGCCUGCGGCUUAAUCGGACUCAACGCCGGGAAACUCACCAGAUAAGACAGCUGAAUGAUAGUCGGGCUGAAGACUCUACUUGACUAGCUGAGAGGAGGUGCAUGGCCGUCGUCAGUUCGUACUGUGAAGCAUCCUGUUAAGUCAGGCAACGAGCGAGACCCA